UAUUAAAAUUUUCAUUUAUUUGUACAAUUAAAAAUUGGCGUGCCAGACGGAAUAAUCAAACAGUGACAUGUGAUGUGUCACAUGUACAUUAUGUUAACAUACAGAGACUAGUUUUUAACAGUAAAAAUAGAUGAAAUUUUUAACA
rfam:Gossypium raimondii Chr01_contig_6, whole genome shotgun sequence.